UGCAUAAUUUAUUAAUGUACUGUAAUUACUUUGUCAUAAUUUCAACUACUCUACUACUUUCAUUAUUUUUCAAUGUAGGUAUUGUACGAUGCACCGAAAACUAUAACCUAUCAGUUGUUAAUUAAAAUACCACGUUAUUCUGAUAUACAACGUAAAUUGAGCUCGUUGUAGCCUUACAACCUUUUUCCCAUAACCGAGAUACCGAAUAGCGAAAGUGGUGAAUGUUUUAAAAUUCUCGAAUUUUGAAUUAUGAUUUUCUAAGAAAUGGUCUACAAACACUUAAGAUUAAGUGCUCGUAGGAAUGAUGCAUGGUCAAGGUCAAAAUCCAUAGCAAAACAUUUUAAUUUAUUCAACUAUCGACUGUAACACGUAGGUCGUAGAGCAUAACUUCAAUAUUAAUAAAAAUGUAAUAUGAAAGAGCUCCACACGCAGUUUCAUGCACUCGCUCCAUCUCACUCUCUCGUAUUCGUGCCAUAUGUCGCCUUAUCUCUUUACGUGGACUCGUGUCGGUUCGAGACUCGUUCGGGUGGACUCGCCGCGCCACGCCUCCGCGCCGCGCGGUACCUAUGCUCUAAUCAUGUCCGCAUGUCCGUCAUGUUCAACGCGUUCGUAGUUCCUGCAUAACAGUACACUUGGAAUGGAAAUGGAACUGUCUGAACAUGUUAAUUUUGACAACUCGGAUUGAAUGAUAUAGUUCCAUAUGAGGACAUAGUUCCAGGAACUAUUUAGGUCCGGAACUACGCAUGUCUAUUCUGUAGUGUAAAUCACGUCGAAUUUCGGCAAGAACUUCGCAUCGCAAAAUCAUUUUAUUUGUCAAAUCAAAAGUUAGUGUUUUAAGUGUUUGUUGUGAGUGAGAAUAUACGAAAACGUUAUAAACCGCCGUUAAUUAUUAAAAAAAUACUAUUAAUUAACAAAAUUGCACUUUAAAAUAACUUUAUUCUUCAUCGAUAUUUUAUGGAGCGUAUGUUUUUAUUGAAAAUAUUGUUGAAAGAGGCUGACGCUACGGAUCAGGAUGAAAUGCGUCGACAAGCCUACGAAAUUCACAAUUUAUCACUUUUAACUUGAGAUGACGACUAUGUAAAAGUAUAAAGUGUAUUGAUUGUCGAAGGAUCAUAUGAACCAGUUAGGGUGUGAAUUACACCCUUUGACGAAGACCACUAAAAGCCAUUGAAAAGGACUUUCAACUCUUCUAAAGUUUCAGUUAUUGUACACCUUGUUUAUUUGGGCAAAUGAAGUUACCAAAAAAAUCAUAAAAGAAAAUAUAAGAACAUAUUUGUCCCAGAUAUCCCAGUGUAUAUCUGAGGUUGUGGAGGCUCUGAACAAACCAGCAACUAUAUAUAAAUAUUUAAGAUUCCCGCAGAAUGCUCAAGAAUGGCAAAAGUUGAAGGAAAACUGAAGAAAAAAGAAGAAGGUGGUUUAAGCUAAAUAGGAACAGAUGGCGGUGCACUAUAAAAAACAAACUGUUUCAAGGCCAUGACCACGACCCUCAGUAAUGAGGAAACCGAUGCAAGGAGGAGGAGAGGUUUAAGCUAAAUAAAAAAAUGUUUUCUUCAUAAAAAAUUACCAAUAUUAAUGUAAUGCUAAAUAUUGCAGUUUUUAUGAAAAAUUUAGAAUCCUUUGGGUUAUUGGGUGUAUUGAUGGGAAGUUGGUGGCCUUAAAAAGAUCUGCUACCAAUAAAAAAUGCUUUUAAUGUCGCAAAGAAUAUCAUGCAACAAAUGUACAAUUUGUAAAGCUAUUAAUAUUUUUCGAAAUUCUGAUAUGUAAUCCAUAAACGAAAUGUGUAUUAAGAACCUAUGUAUUAGAUUGUAUUCAUUUCAGUUAAAUUGUAAUUGUGUAUAUUGCUAUAAGUUAUUGUGAAAUAUAGUAUUUAUCUUAAAUAAACUUUAUUCAUUUAUAAUCAAAACAAAAUAAAAUCUACUAGAUUAGUCAAUGACAGCAAGUAAUGACCAUUAUAAUUAUUUAACAUCUUUUCGGGCUUUCUGUAUAUUGUCAACGUUCCAACCUUAUGACACCUUUUGCUAUUUAUUUUUUCAUUGCUUAGAUCGGUGGACGAGCUCCCAGCCCACCUGGUGUUAAAUGGUUACUGGAGCCCAUCGACAUCUACAUCGUAAAUGUGCCACCCACCUUGAGAUAUAAAUUCUAAGGUCUCAGUAUAGUUACAACAGCUGCCCCACCCUUCAAACCGAAACACAUUACUGCUUCACGGCAGAAAUAGGCGAUAACGCUAUGCUAUGCUAGCUAAUACCUGCUAAUAAUAGCUAGCUAUUGCUAAUAUGGAGGAAAAUACUCCUGAAGCUUUGUAGCACCGCCUUCAUUCCACUGCCCGUAACUCAGUGUAAAGAACAAUAGGUAUGUUAAAGAGUAGAUUCAGGUGUUUGCUGAUCUAUAGGGUGCCAAUUUACCACCCUGAUAAGAUAGCAAAAAUAGUUGUUGCGUGUUGUUUUUUGCACAACAUUUGCAAUUGUGCAGAGCUGCCAGUUCCCAUGAUUUCAGAUGAUGAGAUUACAUGUACAUUAUGGUGGUCAUGUUGAAUUACUUUGUUAAAUUUUACUAAUUAGCUAACUUAUAGUGUGAAGUAACUUCAAAUAUAAAUUAAUGAUUUAUAAAAA